rnacentral:tRNA from 1 species
ACCUGGCUGGCUUAAUCAGAAGAGCAUGCGAUUCUCAAUUACGGGAUUGUGAGUUCAAGCCCCACGUUGGGUG